GCGAAAUAGUCGGGGGGCCACGCUGAACGCGUUGGCUGAGAUCGAAAUUCGAGACCCGUUGAACCUGAUUCAGUUAGCACUGACGUAGGGAACUAUCAGCAUUUGCCU
rnacentral:ncRNA from 2 species